GGGCGUAAGGGUGCGUAGGCGGUUCGGUAAGUCUUGUGUGAAAUCUUCGGGCUCAACUCGAAGUCUGCACUAGAAACUGCCGGGCUUGAGUGUGGGAGAGGUGAGUGGAAUUUCCGGUGUAGCGGUGAAAUGCGUAGAUAUCGGAAGGAACACCUGUGGCGAAAGCGGCUCACUGGACCACAACUGACGCUGAGGCACGAAAGCUAGGGGAGCAAACAGGAUUAGAUACCCUGGUAGUCCUAGCCCUAAACGAUGAUCGCUUGGUGUGACGGGUACCCAAUCCCGCCGUGCCGAAGCUAACGCGUUAAGCGAUCCGCCUGGGGAGUACGGUCGCAAGGCCGAAACUCAAAGGAAUUGACGGGGGCCCGCACAAGCGGUGGAGCAUGUGGUUUAAUUCGACGCAACGCGAAGAACCUUACCUGGGCUCGAAAUGUAGUGGACUGGGGUAGAAAUAUCCCUUCCUAGCAAUAGGCUGCUAUAUAGGUGCUGCAUGGCUGUCGUCAGCUCGUGUCGUGAGAUGUUGGGUUAAGUCCCGCAACGAGCGCAACCCUUAUUACCAGUUGCCAUCAUUCAGUUGGGCACUCUGGUGAGACCGCCUCGGAUAACGGGGAGGAAGGCGGGGAUGACGUCAAGUCCUCAUGGCCUUUAUGUCCAGGGCUACACACGUGCUACAAUGGCCGGUACAAACCGUCGCAAACCCGUGAGGGGGAGCUAAUCGGAAAAAGCCGGCCUCAGUUCGGAUUGGAGUCUGCAACUCGACUCCAUGAAGCUGGAAUCGCUAGUAAUCGCAGAUCAGACGCUGCGGUGAAUACGUUCCCGGGCCUUGCACACACCGCCCGUC
rnacentral:rRNA from 1 species